rnacentral:rRNA from 1 species
UGGGGAAUAUUGCACAAUGGGCGCAAGCCUGAUGCAGCCAUGCCGCGUGUAUGAAGAAGGCCUUCGGGUUGUAAAGUACUUUCAGCGGGGAGGAAGGCGAUGUGGUUAAUAACCGUAUGAUUGACGUUACCCGCAGAAGAAGCACCGGCUAACUCCGUGCCAGCAGCCGCGGUAAUACGGAGGGUGCAAGCGUUAAUCGGAAUUACUGGGCGUAAAGCGCACGCAGGCGGUCUGUUAAGUCAGAUGUGAAAUCCCCGGGCUUAACCUGGGAACUGCAUUUGAAACUGGCAGGCUUGAGUCUCGUAGAGGGGGGUAGAAUUCCAGGUGUAGCGGUGAAAUGCGUAGAGAUCUGGAGGAAUACCGGUGGCGAAGGCGGCCCCCUGGACGAAGACUGACGUUCAGGUGCGAAAGCGUGGGGAGCAAACAGGAUUA